UUUUUUUAAACCGCGUAAAUUUGUAUGGGCCGCACAGCUUUAGCUGUACGGUCCUCAACAAAUUUCGCAUUAACUAGAAAACAAUAUCUAGCCAAAUUUAUCCAAAAUCCAACAUAAAAUUAAAUACACAAAUCAUAUCUGGGGAUCAUUUGAAUCCCUUUUGCUAAAUAAAAUUAAUUUGCUAAGGCAAGAGUAAAGUUGAAGGUAUAGUCUGAGCCUUAAUGAAAAUUAAGGAUUAACUUGGAAAGGCCAUUCUGACCUCGAGAUAGCUGAUAUUCCACGAAACAUUUUUUAGAAUGACACUUACGAUUAUUUUUUUUUUUCACAAGAUUUAUGCAGGUACAGCACUAGGAAUUCCAUACUCUGUGUUUCCAACACAGGUUAAAUUGGGGGGUGUUGCAACUCUACCAUUGGAAAUUAAUCUCGGAAUGACAUAAAUUGAUAGUAAGUAUUCAGACUGUUCAUGAUAAGGUGGGCAGUCAAAACGGAAACAGCCGUGAGCAUGUAUUAAGGUCCCAAAAUGAUUAUUAAGUGAAACAAAGGAAGUUACUCUCUAAAUACAGCUAUAAAGUGAGCUUGGCAGUCGCUAUCUUUUAAUGACCGUGUAACAACGCAGUAGUCUAAUGGAGUUUAGCACCGAAAAUUUAACGGGUCUAGAUAAUCUACCGAAAUCAUGCCGCUUCGACAUAUUGUGUCCCUGGUAGUAGUAUGAUAUGUCCAAGUUGGGUAGUGGAACAUUCAGAACGGAUGAAGAACAGUGUUUCAUUGUUUGGACGUAACUGAAGAGAUAAUGCUGACAUGAGUAACGUAGAAAGAAGUUAUAAUACUUCUCGCCGAAUACGAAAGGGUUGUCCGGUAAAGUUAAACUGCCGGACGUUAUAGCGGCCUCUAAGCUACAAGACCAAUGUUUUGUGUGAUGAGUUUUUCACAGAAAGUCUUUUAUUUUUAAUAAUAAUAGACCAGGAAAAUAAUGUGAAUGUUCUAUCGAACACUAACUACCGUACCCUAAACCGACACAGGUUCGUUGGUAGAGAAUACUAAGGCGUAGAGAUAAUGCUUGUAAAGGAACUCGGCAAGUUUUCCUCAUAAGUUUGGCAAUAAGAGGAGCCAUUUAACAUGUUAAAUGGUGUCACAUAAUCGGAGGCCACGACUGUUUAAUUAAAACACAGACAUCUGCUAUGAUUAAUUUAUUUGUAUAGGUGUUGAAUUUUGCCCCAUGCCAUCAACAUAAGGUCUGCGAGUUUAAAUAUGCGGAUUGAAAGUCUGGUUAAUGGCGGUCUUAACUAUAAGGAUCAGUUUCUAAUAUAACUUCCAUAUUAGGGUCCUUUUUAAAUUUAACUAUAUGCUGGAACAGCUUUUUAAUGGGUUGUUUUACAUUUGUUUUUUUAAAAAUU
rnacentral:ncRNA from 1 species